rnacentral:lncRNA from 1 species
AAGAAAGCAUAAACGCAAAAACACGAAAGAGAAAACACGAAAACGCCAAAACGCGAAAUGAAUUCUCGAUUUUGCGCUUUUGCUUUCUCUAUUUCUCGAUUUCCCAAUUUCUUGAUUUCUCGAUUUCCCGAUUUCUCAAUUUCUCGAUUUCGCUUUCUCGAUUUCUGGAUUUCCCCGAAAACACGAAAAGGGGAAACGUCCGCAUCCGUCCACCAUACAUAAGUCUCUGUCAUAUGAUAUUCUUAUUUCGUAUGUAUUUGCAC